UUUAACUUGGCGUCGACUCGUCCAUGCCAUAGAUGGCAUGGACGCGUCCACGCCAAAUUAAAAGUUAAUUGGAACAUAUAUAUCCAAAGGCAUGGACGGAUCCAUGCCAUUGUAUAUUUAUGUUCCAAUUAAUUUUUUUUUAAUUUAUUUAACUUGGCGUGGACUCGUCCAUGAUGCCAUUUGAUGGCAUGGACGGUUCCACGCCAAGUUAAA